rnacentral:snRNA from 1 species
AUACUGACCUGGUGGGGGAGAGACCAAGAUCACGAAGGUGGUUUUCCCGGGGCGAGGCUUGUCCACUGCGCUCCAGAUGUGCUGACCCCUGCGAUUUCCCCAAAUUGGGAAAUUCGACUGCAUAAUCCAUGGCAGUGGGGGGCUGUGUUCGCGCUCUCCCCUA